CCAGACUCCUACGGGAGGCAGCAGUGGGGAAUAUUGCACAAUGGGGGAAACCCUGAUGCAGCGACGCCGCGCGAGUGAAGAAGUAUUUCGGUAUGUAAAGCUCUAUCAGCAGGGAAGGUAAUGACGGUACCUGACUAAGAAGCCCCGGCUAACUACGUGCCAGCAGCCGCGGUAAUACGUAGGGGGCAAGCGUUAUCCGGAUUUACUGGGUGUAAAGGGUGCGUAGGUGGCAGGGCAAGUCAGAUGUGAAAGCCCGGGGCUCAACCCCGGUACUGCAUUUGAAACUGUCCAGCUGGAGUGCAGGAGAGGUAAGCGGAAUUCCUAGUGUAGCGGUGAAAUGCGUAGAUAUUAGGAGGAACACCAGUGGCGAAGGCGGCUUACUGGACUGUAACUGACACUGAGGCACGAAAGCGUGGGGAGCAAACAGGAUUAGAUACCCGAGUAGU
rnacentral:rRNA from 1 species